GCCCUCUUAGCUCAGAGGUUAGAGCAUCGUAUUUGUAAUGUGAUGGUCAUCGGUUCGAUUUCGAUAGCCGGCU
rnacentral:tRNA from 1 species